AUGAGUAAAGUGGCGUACGGGUGAGUAACACGUGGAUAAUCCACCUCCUAGUGGGGAAUAACUUUGGGAAACCGAAGCUAAUACCGCAUAAGCCUGAGAAGGGAAAGCGAGAAAUCGCGCUGAGAGAGGAGUCCGCGGCCGAUUAGCUGGUUGGUAGGGUAAAAGCCUACCAAGGCGAUGAUCGGUAGCCGGCCUGAGAGGGCACACGGCCACACUGGCACUGAAACACGGGCCAG
rnacentral:rRNA from 1 species